UACGAAGGGGGCUAGCGUUGUUCGGAAUCACUGGGCGUAAAGCGCACGUAGGCGGAUCUUUAAGUCAGGGGUGAAAUCCCGGAGCUCAACUCCGGAACUGCCUUUGAUACUGGAGAUCUUGAGUCCGGGAGAGGUGAGUGGAACUGCGAGUGUAGAGGUGAAAUUCGUAGAUAUUCGCAAGAACACCAGUGGCGAAGGCGGCUCACUGGCCCGGUACUGACGCUGAGGUGCGAAAGCGUGGGGAGCAAACAGG
rnacentral:rRNA from 1 species